GACGAACGCUGGCGGCGUGCCUAAUACAUGCAAGUUGAGCGAUGAAGAUUGGUUCUUGCACCAAUUUGAAGAGCAGCGAACGGGUGAGUAACGCGUGGGGAAUCUGCCUUUGAGCGGGGGACAACAUUUGGAAACGAAUGCUAAUACCGCAUAACAACUUUAAACAUAAGUUUUAAGUUUGAAAGAUGCAAUUGCAUCACUCAAAGAUGAUCCCGCGUUGUAUUAGCUAGUUGGUGAGGUAAAGGCUCACCAAGGCGAUGAUACAUAGCCGACCUGAGAGGGUGGUCGGCCAGAUUGGGACGGAGACACGGCCCAAACUCCUACGGGAGGCAGCAGUAGGGAAACGUCGGCAAGGGGCGAAAGUCUGACCGAGCAACGCCGCGUGAGUGAAGAAGGUUUUCGGAUCGUAAAACUCUGUUGGUAGGGAAGAAAGUUGGUGAGAGUGGAAAGCUCAUCAAGUGACGGUAACUACCCAGAAAGGGACGGCUAACUACGUG
rnacentral:rRNA from 1 species